rnacentral:rRNA from 1 species
CCUACGGGUGGCAGCAGUGGGGGAUAUUGCACAAUGGGGGGAACCCUGAUGCAGCGACGCCGCGUGGGUGAAGGAGUGCUUCGGCAUGUAAAGCCCUAUCGGCAGGGAAGAAGCAAGACGGUACCUGACUAAGAAGCCCCGGCUAACUACGUGCCAGCAGCCGCGGGAAUACGUAGGGGGCGAACGUUAUCCGGAUUCAUGGGGUGGAAAGGGAGCGUAGACGGCCAUGCAGGCCAGGGGUGAAAGCCCUGGGCCCAACCCCGGGAAUGCCCUUGGAAUUGCAUGGCUUGAGUGAGGGAGGGGCAGGCGGAAUUCCUGGUGUAGAGGUGAAAUGCGUAGAUAUCAGGAGGAACACCGGAGGCGAAGGCGGCCUGCUGGA